AACGAACGCUGGCGGCAUGCCUAACACAUGCAAGUCGAACGGGAUCCGGACUUCGGUCCGGUGAGAGUGGCGGACGGGUGAGUAACACGUGGGAACCUGCCUUUUGGUUCGGGAUAACCGCGGGAAACUGCGGCUAAUACCGGAUGCUCCCGAGAGGGAAAAGAUUUAUCGCCAGAAGAGGGGCCCGCGUCCGAUUAGGUAGUUGGUGGGGUAAUGGCCUACCAAGCCUACGAUCUAUAGCUGGUCUGAGAGGACGACCAGCCACACUGGAACUGAGACACGGUCCAGACUCCUACGGGAGGCAGCAGUGGGGAAUAUUGGACAAUGGGCGAAAGCCUGAUCCAGCAAUGCCGCGUGAGUGAUGAAGGCCUUAGGGUUGUAAAAGCUCUUUUACCCGGGAUGAUAAUGACAGUACCGGGAGAAUAAAGCUCCGGCUAACUCCGUGCCAGCAGCCGCGGUAAU
rnacentral:rRNA from 1 species